rnacentral:sRNA from 1 species
GCUGACCGAGCGCACCCCGCCCCCGGCGCCAUCUUCCCGACUGCGAGCCGUCCAGGUCUCAGUGCUGUGUCCCCCCAGAGCCUAGAGGAUGUUUCAUGGGAUCCCAGCCACUCCGGGCAUAGGAGCCCCUGGGAACAAGCCGGAGCUGUAUGAGGAAGUGAAGUUGUACAAGAACGCCCGGGAGAGGGAGAAGUACGACAACAUGGCAGAGCUGUUUGCGGUGGUGAAGACAAUGCAAGCCCUGGAGAAGGCCUACAUCAAGGACUGUGUCUCCCCCAGCGAGUAAGAGCCCACGUCCUGGGAGGUCUGUUCCUGCCCUGGGGGGCUCGGGUGCUCCAUAGGCAGCAAGAGCAGGUGUCUGUCAGGCUGGGAGGCACCCACUUGUGUGGGGCCCACCCAGCGUGAGGAGGGUGCCCCUGGGUCUCAGCCAGGGAAGUCCUGGGGGCUGGUGAGGGAGGCGGGCAGAGGCGCAGCUCCUGGGGUGUCAUCCGGCCCACUCCCCCACCCUCAUCCCCCAGCACAGGCAACCUUAAAAAACGGUCGAGAGGCUUGGGGAUGUCCCAGGAUCU